rnacentral:tRNA from 1 species
GUAGAGCGACGGACUGUUAAUCCGCAGGUCCCUGGUUCGAGCCCAGGUUGGAGAGCCA